UGCUAAGGAAGGGUUUCUGAGGAUGUUGGU
rnacentral:piRNA from 1 species